AGAAACAGAGCCAGUCGCCGCCACCGUCCGUCCUCAGCUGGAAAAGUGCGCGGCGACGAAAGAGAAGGGAGAGAGAGAGAGUCGGGACGACCGUGGAGCGCACCGGCUAGCGCGCCAGGCGGGCGAGGGUCCGGGCGAGAGAAGCUGGCACCGGCGGCGACGAGAGAUGCUCAGAGGCUCGUCGUGAGUCCGGUGAGGGAAGAAGUUGCUGCCGAGGGUGGGAGGGAGAAAGAGGCCGCCGCUGCCGCCACCGCACGUGCCCAGCGCUGUAUUGUUUCGGACCUGCCUUUCCAAGCGGCCGGCGGCGCCCAGGCAGCGCCCCCCAAGGUCAGUGCCCCUCAGGCGAAAGCGAGAGCCCAGGCGGGCUGGGUCGCCACCCAGGCUUGCUUUCUACUUUUGCGGGAAGUUGUACGGAGCGAGGGGUGUAUACGCUGUGGGGCGGAGGGGGGGGUCGUCUCAGUCCCAGCACUUUCCGUGCGCACGCGCUGGAGUGAGGAACAUCCUGGGGGAGAAGGUGGCCCGGGCGUCGCGUGUUGCUUCUUCUCUGGAGGGAAGGUGCUCGGGGAAGUCCUUUGCCACAGGGGAGCUCAGCGCGGCGGGUCGGGCCGGUGGCGGUGGGGAGAUGAGUUGCUGGAUGUAUGCGGGCGGAAUUGGAGGCAGCCUGGACUCUCUCUCCACCUUUCUUCCAGGACGCACUCCCUGAGUAGAAUUAAAGCGCGAGCGAGCGAGAGGCCAGGACUUGAUCAAUCUUUCAGUCAUUCUUGAAUUCAGUAGUGCCAUCAUGUACUGUAUUUUGCCUUGCAUCCAAGGAUCUCAAAGCAGCAAGCCGGGGUGGUGGGAUUAGCCAGAGGCAUUUCUUCUUUUUAGACAGCUCAAGGAACCUCAUGACUGAACAGAGAUUUCCCUCUCCGCACGACAGAGAUGCCUUGGUUGUUACUGUUAUUGUAGCAGUUCGAAAAGGUUGGAAUGACCGGUGUAUUACACGGAUACAGGCUGAUCAGGACUGUGGGAGUGCUGCACUUAAUGAUGGAACACAGAAGCAUUGUGUUUCCCCUAGGUAGGUGGCUGUAGUCUGAAUAGGAGGGAUGCACCCCCAGCUUUUUGGUGAAUGAGGCAUAGUUGCCUGCUUGGACCAUAAGCGCCCUGCUGUUUCAAAAACUCCAUAAUAAUUUACUCAUCCUUUGAGUUUAACCACUUUGCACCAGCAGUACAUUCUUUAGGGCACAGAAGGGAUACAUUCUUCCAAGUUUUCAGGAUAUGUAUAGCAGACAGGAUAAGACAGGAUGGGCUGACAUACAAAAUGCUCUCAUGUGGUUCAUUACCAAAGGCAUAGCUGAGUUGGCAUCUGCAGAUUCAGAUGACUGGAGGAAUGUUAUAUAUAAGCAUGCAGCGCAAUUGGUUGUAUCUGUGUAAGAUUCAUCACACAGUAUAGAGUAAACAUUGUAGAUGCAGAAGAGUGGAUGUUCUAACAGAUUAAUUAGGCAGUCACUGGUAUAACUA
rnacentral:lncRNA from 1 species